rnacentral:rRNA from 1 species
UGGGGAAUAUUGGACAAUGGGCGAAAGCCUGAUCCAGCCAUGCCGCGUGUGUGAAGAAGGCCUUUUGGUUGUAAAGCACUUUAAGUGGGGAGGAAAAGCUUAUGGUUAAUACCCAUAAGCCCUGACGUUACCCACAGAAUAAGCACCGGCUAACUCUGUGCCAGCAGCCGCGGUAAUACAGAGGGUGCAAGCGUUAAUCGGAAUUACUGGGCGUAAAGCGCGCGUAGGUGGUUAUUUAAGUCAGAUGUGAAAGCCCCGGGCUUAACCUGGGAACUGCAUCUGAUACUGGAUAACUAGAGUAGGUGAGAGGGGAGUAGAAUUCCAGGUGUAGCGGUGAAAUGCGUAGAGAUCUGGAGGAAUACCGAUGGCGAAGGCAGCUCCCUGGCAUCAUACUGACACUGAGGUGCGAAAGCGUGGGUAGCAACAGGAUUAGAUACCCUGGUAGUCCACGCCGUAACGAUGUCUACCAGUCGUUGGGUCUUUUAAAGACUUAGUGACGCAGUUAACGCAAUAAGUAGACCGCCUGGGGAGUACGGCCGCAGUA